AAAAAGUGAUCAAACCAACUGCUUGGGAAAUACCAACAAUGUUCCGCAUUUUUAAGACUUACCUGUUCUCAGACUGUUGUUGAUAUUUCUUAAAUGAAGUCGAUUGCUUUUAAAAGUAAUUGCUUUUAUUAUUUUAAGAAAAAAAAUGAUUUUUAAUUUUAUCGAUUUAAAUAUUUCAAAAUUAUCAUUAUAAAAAUUCAAUUUUAUUUAGCUAAAAAAUAAAUCAGAGUAGAAACAAUUGGAUAAAAGGCUC
rnacentral:lncRNA from 1 species